rnacentral:RNase_P_RNA from 1 species
UGAAAGACGAUCGCUUGAGUACUCCUCAAGAGGAAAGUCCGGGCAGCACAGAGCAUGAUAGUCGCUAACGGCGACCGUUCGCAAGAAUAGGGAAAGUACCACAGAGACAAUACAGCCUUUUGGCAAUGGUGAAAAGAGUGGGGUAAGAGCCCACAGCGCUUAUUGGUGACAGUAGGCGGAGGCAAACCCUAUCAGCUGCAAGGAGUGCUACGUACCUUGGCUCGAGGAUGCACGCUCACCGCUUGAACCAGUUGGCAACGGCUGGUCUAGAUAGAUGAUUGUCGACUAUAUAUUAUAUAUAGGUAUAUAGUUACAAAACCCGGCUUAAAG